rnacentral:lncRNA from 1 species
CCAUGAAAGGGGCCGCCGAGUUGUGGAAAACUCUAGUAUUGUGUUCCAACCAAACCUCCCAAGAGAUGAGCAUUGUGAGGGAGGCAAGCGCCUUGGGUGAGCCGAGCCGGAUCUGAAGGUUACUAUUCCACCAUUCUCUUACCGAAGCCCUCGUCACCCAAGUAGAGACGUGGAGAUGUGAUGCAUGCCGAGCCAUGGGAGGACGUCAUUCCAAAUGCGCAUGGUGUAGCGGCACUGGAAGAGGAGAUGAGCCGUGGUUUCUUGGGUUUGUUUGCAAAGAGGGCAUAGACCGCAAUUAGGCCAACCACGACGGCUCAAGCUGUUUCUAAAUAUAAGACGUCCCUGCCAAAACAUCUUAUAUUUAGGAGCGAGGUAGUAGAUCAUUUGCCCUGCUAUGGAUUGCAGUAAUGUGCCACCAAUAGUCAUUGACUGUAUUUGCUUUAGCUAAUUGCUAUACACACACUACUACUACAGAAAACAGGAGCCUAGUUUCUCUGUUAUGUAUAUCAUGUUACUUAUGAUCACACUGUUAGGAAAGCAACUUGUCUCUAUUGAAGGCUCAAGGGGCAUAUAUAUAUAUUACACAUGACUUGAGGUGCAAGGAAAGUAAACAUAGACUAAUAAGGACUCCUAGACUAAUACUAAUAGACUAAUAAGGACUCCUAGACUAAUACUAAUACUUCCUAACACCCCCCCUCAAAUGCAAAGCGUAUGCAAUAGCAUUGCAUUUGAAGAAGUGUAAUACUAAAAUGAUAAUCCAAAUCCGCGUCUUGAGAGUGUCGUCGUAGCAUGAAGAGUCUUCAAAACUUGUCGAGUCGCCGAAGGAGAUAACGAAGAGAUGGCACAUCAGAGGUAGACACUGCAUCACUUGAAGAUACAAGAUAAGUAUCAAGAG